rnacentral:rRNA from 1 species
CAGCCGCCGCGGUAAUACGUAGGUGGCAAGCGUUGUCCGGAAUUAUUGGGCGUAAAGGGCUCGCAGGCGGUUUCUUAAGUCUGAUGUGAAAGCCCCCGGCUCAACCGGGGGGGGUCAUUGGAAACUGGGAAACUUGAGUGCAGAAGAGGAGAGUGGAAUUCCACGUGUAGCGGUGAAAUGCGUAGAGAUGUGGAGGAACACCAGUGGCGAAGGCGACUCUCUGGUCUGUAACUGACGCUGAGGAGCGAAAGCGUGGGGAGCGAACAGGAUUAGAUACCCCUGUAGUCCCUGUCUCUUAUAA